rnacentral:rRNA from 1 species
GGUGAACGCUGGCGGCGUGCUUAAUACAUGCAAGUCGAACGAUCGUCUUCGGACGGGAGUGGCGCACGGGGUAGUAACGCGUAACUUACCUGCCCCCAAGUUCCGAAUAACCCGGCGGAAGGAGGGCUAAUACGGGAUGUGCUGUCGCCUCCUGUCAGGCCAGGAAAGGCUUGACCGCUUGGGGGUGGGGUGCCGUUCCACCAGCUAGAUGUUGGGGUAAAGGCCUACCAUGGCAACGACGGAUAACCGGCCGGGGAGGGUGGACGGUCACACGGGCACUGAGACAAGGGUAGGACGCCUACGGGAGGCAGCAGUUAGGAAUCUAAGCCAGUCGACGCAAGUCUGAGGGAGCGACGCCGCGUGACGGAUCAAGGUUCUCGGUUCGUAAACCUGUGAAUCAGGGACGAAAGAAGCGGAAGACGGAUGAGGGUACCUGCGUAAUAGCACCGGCUAACUCCGUG